rnacentral:rRNA from 1 species
AGUGGCGGACGGGUGAGUAACGCGUGAGAAUCUGCCUUGGGGUCGGGGACAACCACUGGAAACGGUGGCUAAUACCGGAUACGCCUUCGGGUAAAAGAUUUAUUGCCCUAAGAGGAGCUCGCGUCUGAUUAGCUAGUUGGUGAGGUAAGAGCUCACCAAGGCAGCGAUCAGUAGCUGGUCUGAGAGGACGAUCAGCCACACUGGGACUGAGACACGGCCCAGACUCCUACGGGAGGCAGCAGUGGGGAAUUUUCCGCAAUGGGCGAAAGCCUGACGGAGCAAGAUCGCGUGAGGGAGGAAGGCUCUUGGGUUGUAAACCUCUUUUCUCAGGGAAGAAGCUCUGACGGUACCUGAGGAAUCAGCCUCGGCUAACUCCGUGCCAGCAGCCGCGGUAAUACGGAGGAGGCAAGCGUUAUCCGGAAUUAUUGGGCGUAAAGCGUCCGCAGGUGGCGAUUCAAGUCUGCUGUCAAAGCACGGGGCUUAACUCCGUAAAGGCAGUGGAAACUGAAUAGCUAGAGUGCCGUAGGGGUAGAGGGAAUUCCCGGUGUAGCGGUGAAAUGCGUAGAGAUCGGGAAGAACAUCGGUGGCGAAAGCGCUCUACUGGACGGCAACUGACACUCAGGGACGAAAGCUAGGGGAGCGAAUGGGAUUAGAUACCCC